UUAGCUAUUUGCUCCAAUAAUUGUACACAUUCAUUGUUCGAAGUGCUCCCUCUCUUGGCCUUCGCCGCCUUUCUCCCAAUAGGUGUCGGCUGACGUGGGAGUAGUGACUCCGUUUCCAUUGGGGAGUCCAAUGGCGAAUUAGUUGUUGGCGAAUCGUGGAGCUACGUCUCAUUCAACAUAACCGGCGGACCUGUGGGAAUAAUGUUGAAUUUCGAACAAUCCUUCACAACUUCCCAACAUUGGAAAUGCAAGAAACUUUUUUUAUCUUGCCCCAUGGCAUUGAACCAAAGUUGUGCUUGUAUGAUCUAUUAAAAAUAAAUAAUUGGAAGUGCAAGAAAAAAAAAAAAGAUUAUGCAAGAAAAAGAAAUAGAAUAUGCAAUAAAAAAAAUUACAUUAAAUUGAUUAAAAUAGCAAUUAUAAAUAUUUUACCUCAUCGGAUAGAUUUGGACCGCUUCGAAUGUUCUCCUUUACUUUUGUCAAGGCAUUUCUCUAUUUUCCUAACUCUUUAUUCAUAAUUUUCCAUCUACUAGAGAAUGUCAUUUCGGUCCGAAUGGAACCCGAUAUUUGACAAAAUUCUCCAUGAAUUUUGCUCCACAUACGAGGGAACUUCAUCUCAUUGCCCGAGAUAGGGCAAUGACUAAUGAUCACCCAAGACUGACACAACGCAAUAUCUUCAUGAGUUGUCCACGCGCCUUCAGCUUAGACAGAAG
rnacentral:lncRNA from 1 species